GGAUUUUCAGAGUGGGCCUUUUUUUGGUGAGUAACACGUGGGUAACCUGCCUUGGAGUCCGGGAUACCCCCUCGAAAGGGGGGCUAAUACUGGAUACGUUCUCCGGGUCGCACGAUCUGGAGAGGAAAGGUGGCGAAAGCUGCCGCUCUUGGAGGGGCCUGCGGCCUAUCAGCUAGUUGGUGAGGUAACGGCUCACCAAGGCUACGACGGGUAGCUGGUCUGAGAGGACGACCAGCCACACGGGGACUGAGACACGGCCCCGACUCCUACGGGAGGCAGCAGUGGGGAAUUUUCCGGGGGGGGCGAAAGCCUGACGGAGUGACGCCGCGUGGGGGACGAAGGCCUUCGGGUCGUAAACCCCUGUCAGAGGGAAAGAAGGUGUCCGGCGUGAAUAGCGUCGGGCAUUGACGGUACCUUCA
rnacentral:rRNA from 1 species